AGUAAUGUCUGGGGAUCUGCCUGAUGGCGGGGGAUAACUACUGGAAACGGUAGCUAAUACCGCAUAAUGUCUGCGGACCAAAGCGGGGGACCUCCGGGCCUCGCGCCAUCAGAUGAACCCAUAUGGGAUUAGCUAGUAGGUAAGGUAACGGCUCACCUAGGCGACGAUCCCUAGCUGGUCUGAGAGGAUGGCCAGCCACACUGGAACUGAGACACGGUCCAG
rnacentral:rRNA from 1 species